UACAUAGGGGGCGAGCGUUAUCCGGAUUUAUUGGGUGUAAAGGGUGCGUAGACGGGAAGGCAAGUUAGUUGUGAAAUCCCUCGGCUUAACUGAGGAACUGCAACUAAAACUAUCUUUCUUGAGUGCGGGAGAGGAAAGUGGAAUUCCUAGUGUAGCGGUGAAAUGCGUAGAUAUUAGGAGGAACACCAGUGGCGAAGGCGACUUUCUGGACCGUAACUGACGUUGAGGCACGAAAGUGUGGGGAGCAAACA
rnacentral:rRNA from 1 species